UAGAGUUUGAUCAUGGCUCAGAUUGAACGCUGGCGGCAUGCCUAACACAUGCAAGUCGCACGCGAAAGGGGGCAACCCUGAGUAGAGUGGCGGACGGGUGAGUAACGCGUAGGAAUCUACCUGGUAGUGGGGGACAACCCGGUGAAAACCGGGCUAAUACCGCAUACGAUCCACGGAUGAAAGCAGGGGACCGCAAGGCCUUGCGCUAUCAGAUGAGCCUGCGUCGGAUUAGCUAGUUGGUGAGGUAACGGCUCACCAAGGCGACGAUCCGUAGCUGGUUUGAGAGAACGACCAGCCACACCGGAACUGAGACACGGUCCGGACUCCUACGGGAGGCAGCAGUGGGGAAUAUUGGACAAUGGGGGCAACCCUGAUCCAGCAAUGCCGCGUGUGUGAAGAAGGCCUUCGGGUUGUAAAGCACUUUCGGUGGGGACAAACAAGGCGGAGCUAACAUCUCCGUCUCUGAUGGUACCCAAAGAAGAAGCACCGGCUAACUCUGUGCCAGCCGCCGCGGKAAUUC
rnacentral:rRNA from 1 species